rnacentral:rRNA from 1 species
ACUGAGCGGCGGACGGGUGAGUAACGCGUGGGUAACCUGCCUCAUACAGGGGGAUAACAGUUGGAAACGGCUGCUAAUACCGCAUAAGCGCACAGUACCGCAUGGUACGGUGUGAAAAACUCCGGUGGUAUGAGAUGGACCCGCGUCUGAUUAGGUAGUUGGUGGGGUAACGGCCUACCAAGCCGACGAUCAGUAGCCGACCCGAGAGGGUGACCGGCCACAUUGGGACUGAGACACGGCCCAA